rnacentral:rRNA from 1 species
UGCAGUCGACGGUGACACGGAGCUUGCUCUGUGGGAUCAGUGGCGAACGGGUGAGUAACACGUGAGCAACCUGCCCCUGACUCUGGGAUAAGCGCUGGAAACGGCGUCUAAUACUGGAUAUGUGACGUGACCGCAUGGUCUGCGUCUGGAAAGAUUUUUCGGUUGGGGAUGGGCUCGCGGCCUAUCAGCUUGUUGGUGAGGUAAUGGCUCACCAAGGCGUCGACGGGUAGCCGGCCUGAGAGGGUGACCGGCCACACUGGGACUGAGACACGGCCCAGACUCCUACGGGAGGCAGCAGUGGGGAAUAUUGCACAAUGGGCGCAAGCCUGAUGCAGCAACGCCGCGUGAGGGAUGACGGCCUUCGGGUUGUAAACCUCUUUUAGCAGGGAAGAAGCGAAAGUGACGGUACCUGCAGAAAAAGCGCCGGCUAACUACGUGCCAGCAGCCGCGGUAAUACGUAGGGCGCAAGCGUUAUCCGGAAUUAUUGGGCGUAAAGAGCUCGUAGGCGGUUUGUCGCGUCUGCUGUGAAAUCCGGAGGCUCAACCUCCGGCCUGCAGUGGGUACGGGCAGACUAGAGUGCGGUAGGGGAGAUUGGAAUUCCUGGUGUAGCGGUGGAAUGCGCAGAUAUCAGGAGGAACACCGAUGGCGAAGGCAGAUCUCUGGGCCGUAACUGACGCUGAGGAGCGAAAGGGUGGGGAGCAAAC